rnacentral:misc_RNA from 1 species
AGGGGGUAAACAUAAGGGUAAGCACCAUAAUUUCAAAAUAUCAGCUACACGAAAGAGGAAAAAAGCCAGGAAAACAAGCUAAUUAAAGAACUUGUCACUUUCAAUUAAAUUUAUAUAUCCUAUGAUUAUACCACAUUAAACGUCUAUACGAUACUUCAGAGGUAACAUCAACUUGUAAGCACCAAGUAUGAAAACUAGCAUUCAGUUUAUGCUAUUUUUCAUCACUAUUCACAUCUUUCAUAGAACACACCUCUCAUGGACAGAAGUGAAAAUAAUGAAUUAAAAAACAGUGCAAAAAACCCGGUGGAAACAAGCAUGAGAGGAUUAAAACUGCAGAUUAGGCAUUAGAGACACUUUCAAUCAUAUUGGGACACGUUUGCUUAUAAUCUAUGUUGCUUUACUUGAUAACACUAUACUAUUUACACAGUAACAUAACAAGGUGCAUCCUUCUUCCACGCUGAUGUAUCUUAGAAUAUACUUAUGCAAACUAUCGUGGCCUGUAUUAAGAAACCAACAGAAUCCAACCCCAAUGGCAUGUCUUUUCUUAAAAACAAAGCUUACCCAGCUAUCAAUCAAAUCCUAUGUGUUGGAACCAUAAUCUAAUAUUCAAGAAUGUUUCUUCCAAAUUCAUUUGAUCAGCGUACAUUUGAAAUCAAUGAGAAUUUGGAUUUGCGUGUCAAGUGAAAAAUUAUUAAAUUUUAACAUAAUCUUAAAUUCAAAUAACUUCAUUAGAAAUUCACACCUAUCCAAAUGAA